rnacentral:rRNA from 1 species
UACGGAGGGUGCAAGCGUUAUCCGGAUUUACUGGGCGUAAAGGGCGCGUAGGCGGCCUUCUAAGUCGAACGUGAAAUCCCCGGGCUCAACCCGGGAACUGCGUCCGAUACUGGAAGGCUUGAAUCCGGGAGAGGGAUGCGGAAUUCCAGGUGUAGCGGUGAAAUGCGUAAAUAUCUGGAGGAACACCGGUGGCGAAGGCGGCAUCCUGGACCGGCAUUGACGCUGAGGCGCGAAAGCCAGGGGAGCAAACGGG